ACGCCUGUAGCUCAACGGAUAGAGCGAUGGCCUCCGGAGCCAUAGAUAGGAGUUCGAUUCUCCUCAGGCGUGCCA
rnacentral:tRNA from 3 species